CUAUGGAGCCCCUUGGCAAAGAAAUACCUGUUUAGAGGAACCCAUGAUUGGCUUCGAAGAGCCCGGAGCACCAGCAGGGACCCAUAAGGUACUUCUAAUGGGGAGCGUGUCCUGAACUGAAGCCAGCUGAAGUGGAUGAAGUCUUGCUGUGAUUUCAACCGGGUGACUUGGCUUGUACUCAUGCAGUAAACCAGAGAUCACUUCCUUCC
rnacentral:lncRNA from 1 species